ACUCAAGUAGCUCAGUGGUGAGAGCGAUGGUCUUAUGUUUCUUCUGGAAGAAAAAAGUUAGCCAUCGGUCGAGGGUUCGAAUCCCUCCUUGAGUA
rnacentral:tRNA from 1 species